UACGUAGGCAGCAAGCGUGUUCGGAAUUACUGGGCGUAAAGAGUGUGUAGGCGGUGCUCCAAGUCUGGUGUGAAAUCUCCCGGCUUAACUGGGAGGGUGCAUUAGAAACUGGAAUGCUAGAGGAUGGGAGAGGUAAGCGGAAUUCCUGGUGUAGCGGUGAAAUGCGUAGAUAUCAGGAGGAACACCUGUGGUGUAAGACGCU
rnacentral:rRNA from 1 species